GAUGAACGCUGGCGGCGUGCCUAAUACAUGCAAGUCGAGCGAACAGACGAGGAGCUUGCUCCUCUGACGUUAGCGGCGGACGGGUGAGUAACACGUGGAUAACCUACCUAUAAGACUGGGAUAACUUCGGGAAACCGGAGCUAAUACCGGAUAAUAUAUUGAACCGCAUGGUUCAAUAGUGAAAGACGGUUUUGCUGUCACUUAUGGAUGGAUCCGCGCCGCAUUAGCUAGUUGGUAAGGUAACGGCUUACCAAGGCGACGAUGCGUAGCCGACCUGAGAGGGUGAUCGGCCACACUGGAACUGAGACACGGUCCAGACUCCUACGGGAGGCAGCAGUAGGGAAUCUUCCGCAAUGGGCGAAAGCCUGACGGAGCAACGCCGCGUGAGUGAUGAAGGUCUUCGGAUCGUAAAACUCUGUUAUUAGGGAAGAACAAAUGUGUAAGUAACUAUGCACGUCUUGACGAUACCUAAUCAGAAAGCCACGGCUAACUACGUG
rnacentral:rRNA from 1 species